UACGUAGGGUGCAGGCGUUAAUCGGAAUUACUGGGCGUAAAGCGUGCGCAGGCGGUUUGCUAAGACAGGUGUGAAAUCCCCGGGCUUAACCUGGGAACUGCGCUUGUAACUGGCAAGCUAGAGUGUGGCAGAGGGGGGUGGAAUUCCACGUGUAGCAGUGAAAUGCGUAGAGAUGUGGAGGAACACCGAUGGCGAAGGCAGCCCCCUGGGCUAACACUGACGCUCAUGCACGAAAGCGUGGGGAGCAGACAGG
rnacentral:rRNA from 1 species